rnacentral:rRNA from 1 species
UACGUGGGGGUGCAAACGUUGCUCGGAAUUAUUGGGCGUAAAGAGCUCGUAGGCGGUCUGUCGCGUCUGCUGUGAAAACUCGGGGCUUAACCCCGGGCCUGCAGUGGGUACGGGCAGACUAGAGUGCGGUAGGGGAGACUGGAAUUCCUGGUGUAGCGGUGAAAUGCGCAGAUAUUGGGGAGGAACACCAGUGGCGAAGGCGGCUCACUGGACCGGAACUGACGCUGAGGCGCGAAAGCGUGGGGAGCAAACAGG